AUAGCGGAAGUCUAGCUCUCUUUUUCCGGCUUUCCGGCUUCCGGUUUGGCGGCGGAAAGCUACUCGGCUCAUCUGGGUUACUUGUUUGUCUCUUAUGAUGCAGACACAGACCUCUGCUGGUACAAGCUCUGGACAUUGGACCUCUCUGCCUCUGAACUUGUGAAUGCAAACACCAAGCUCCAGCCUGGAACUGUAAGUGAAACAGACUCCUGCCUCCCCUAAGUUCCUUUCUGGUCAAGACAUUUUGGAAACAGCACCAGCAUUGAAGCUAGGAAAGUCAGUAACAUGCUCACUGCAGAAGCAUGCGGAUCUGAUGUGGCAAACCAGGAGGAGCUCUUAGAAACUGGAUGGUGUAGCCAGUAUCUGGAGGGUCUGGGCUGUGGGGACAUAGCUCCUACAGUCUGACUGGACCAGGCCCUGUUGCACGACUCUCUGCGUCCUGUGCUUCCUGGCCACACAGUCAGGUGAGGAAAUCUAAUGGAAGCUAAUAGAAGUCGUGGGCCACACAAGCCCAUGGAAGUCAAAGAAGAAAACCAGCCACCUGAUGCUAAGGUCUACAGUGCUUGGGGAGCAGGGGACAAAUAAAUGUCAGUCACGUGACACAGAGGUGCAGUUACACAGGAGGGUGCAAUUUCCAGAGGCUGACUGUGCAGCUAGACAAUGAGUCACCGAGAGCAGUCCCUGAGCAUUAAAAAUCGUGCACCCACAUGGAAUAAUUGGAAGUGAGAUGUGAGGGAAUCGCAUCGUGCUGAUCUACUUACAGUGGGAUGAAUGGCUCCUCACAGCCAACUGCCAGAUGGACCACUGCAGUCAGUAACUCCAAUGCUGAACUUCCCCCAGGCGCACAGACAGUUUUACCACCAACUGUGGACUGUUUUUUUUUUCCUUUUCUGCCUUUUCCUGAGGUGGUCUGGCACUGGGCCAGAGCUUUCUGAGAUCUUGCAGAGGGGAGGGGCACCUGCCCAAUGUCUUACAGUUUCUUGCUGAGUGUGCUGAGCCUUAGAGGCACGCAGAGGGCCCUGGAUGUGCCCUGCUUUAUUCCUCUGCAGUGAUGGCUCAAUUUGUGGUAAUUUACAGGAAUAAAAUAUGCAUGGCUGUGUCACCUGAA